rnacentral:rRNA from 1 species
AGGGCAUCACCAGGAGUGGAGCCUGCGGCUUAAUUUGACUCAACACGGGAAAACUCACCCGGCCCGGACACUGGAAGGAUUGACAGAUUGAGAGCUCUUUCUUGAUUCAGUGGGUGGUGGUGCAUGGCCGUUCUUAGUUGGUGGAGUGAUUUGUCUGGUUAAUUCCGAUAACGAACGAGACUCUAGCCUACUAAAUAGAUAGUCGGCUUACAAACGUCGACUAGACUUCUUAGAGGGACAGGCGGUGAUUCAACCGCACGAAACAGAGCAAUAACAGGUCUGUGAUGCCCUUAGAUGUCCGGGGCCGCACGCGCGCUACACUGAAGUGAUCAGCGUGCUUUUUCAGCCUACUCUGUCAAGAGUGGGAAACCCAAUGAACCUUCUUCGUGAUUGGGAUAGGGGAUUGUAAUUAUUCCCCUUGAACGAGGAAUUCCCAGUAAGCGCGAGUCAUAAGCUCGCGUUGAUUACGUCCCUGCCCUUUGUACACACCGCCCGUCGCUACUACCGAUUGAAUGUUUU